CGAAAGCCUGCAUUCAAAGGGCUCAUUUUGAAAAUUGUGGUUCUGGAUGCAGUCCGCCGGAAUGCCCUGACCAAAGAUUCUACAGAAAAGGAAAUAGAGCUCCUCAUCACCAGUGGCGGGUCACAAUGGACUGUUGUUAAGUAAGUGAGUGAGAGCCCCUCAGCAGGAAAUCCUGACCGUAUGCUGCUGAUCAAGGGAUCCUUCCGUCCAUCUGCUGUUAAUCUGGG